GAUGAACGCUGGCGGCGUGCCUAAUACAUGCAAGUCGAGCGAGCAGACGAGGAGCUUGCUCCUCUGACGUUAGCGGCGGACGGGUGAGUAACACGUGGAUAACCUACCUAUAAGACUGGGAUAACUUCGGGAAACCGGAGCUAAUACCGGAUAAUAUAUUGAACCGCAUGGUUCAAUAGUGAAAGACGGUUUUGCUGUCACUUAUAGAUGGAUCCGCGCCGCAUUAGCUAGUUGGUAAGGUAACGGCUUACCAAGGCAACGAUGCGUAGCCGACCUGCGAGAGUGAUCGGCCACACUGGAACUGAGACGCGGUCCAGACUCCUACGGGAGGCAGCAGUAGGGAAUCUUCCGCAAUGGGCGAAAGCCUGACGGAGCAACGCCGCGUGAGUGAUGAAGGUCUUCGGAUCGUAAAACUCUGUUAUGAGGGAAGAACAAAUGUGUAAGUAACUAUGCACGUCUUGACGGUACCUAAUCAGAAAGCCACGGCUAACUGCGUG
rnacentral:rRNA from 1 species